GACGUAGGGGGCGAGCGUUGUCCGGAAUUAUUGGGCGUAAAGGGCUCGUAGGCGGUUUGUCGCGUCGGGAGUGAAAACUCAGGGCUUAACUCAGUGCUUGCUUCCGAUACGGGCAGACUAGAGGUAUGCAGGGGAGAACGGAAUUCCUGGUGUAGUGGUGAAAUGCGCAGAUAUCAGGAGGAACACCGGUGGCGAAGGCGGUUCUCUGGGCAUUACCUGACGCUGAGGAGCGAAAGUGUGGGGAGCGAACAGG
rnacentral:rRNA from 1 species